GGUCUUAUAGUUCAAUGGAUAGAACGGAAGUUUCCUAAACUUCAAAUCCGGGUUCGAUUCCCGGUGGGACUA
rnacentral:tRNA from 1 species